rnacentral:rRNA from 1 species
CACGUAGGGUGCGAGCGUUGUCCGGAAUUAUUGGGCGUAAAGAGCUCGUAGGCGGUGUGUCGCGUCGGCCGUGAAAACCUGCAGCUUAACUGUGGGCUUGCGGUCGAUACGGGCAUCACUGGAGUUCGGCAGGGGAGACUGGAAUUCCAGGUGUAGCGGUGAAAUGCGUAGAUAUCUGGAGGAACACCGGUGGCGAAGGCGGCAUCCUGGACCAACACUGACGCUGAGGAGCGAAAGCCAGGGGAGCAAACGGG